UACAGAGGUUGCAAGCGUUAAUCGGAAUUACUGGGCGUAAAGCGCGCGUAGGUGGCAAGUUAAGUCGGAUGUGAAGGCCCUGGGCUCAACCUAGGAAUUGCAUUCGAUACUGGCUAGCUCGAGUUUGGUAGAGGAGAGUGGAAUUCCCGGUGUAGCGGUGGAAUGCGUAGAUAUCGGGAGGAACAUCAGUGGCGAAGGCGGCUUUCUGGACCAAAACUGACGCUGAGGCGCGACUGCGUGGGGAUCAAACAGG
rnacentral:rRNA from 1 species